rnacentral:lncRNA from 1 species
GUUUGAUGGGAUUGAUAGGCAUGAUCGAUAUGCUAACCGGAACAUUGUAUUCUUUGAUGUAAGCCUGCAGUUCUCCAUAUCUUGAUGCUAGUUUUGAUAGUUUAGAGCUUUUCUAUCGAUUGACUUGGUCAUUUUAUAUGCACUAGAUCAACAUGAAAGGCUUGGACGGAAUUCAAGGACCCAUUUAUGUGGGUACUGGGUGUGUCUUUAGAAGACAGGCAUUCUAUGGUAAUGAUGCUCCAAAAACAAAGAAGCCUCCAACAAGGACCUGUAACUGCUGGCCAAACUGGUGCUGUUGUGGUUGCUGUUUCUCUGGAAAGAAGAAAAAGAAAACCACAAAGUCCAAGUCUGAGAAGAAGCAGAAGAAGUUUAGGAGAUUGGAUUCUGGAGCACCUGUAUUUGCUUUAGAGGGCAUUGAGGAGGGCAUUGAAGGUAAAAACUAUCCUUUUAAAUGAUUUUGUUAUCAUUUUAAGGUCUUUUUUUGAGCUUUGUUUAGGAAAAAUGACCUAAUUCCUGAAAUAGGCUUAGUUUUGUUAAACACAAUGGAUACUAAUUGGAUGGCUUCCUGAUGGAUAUAUGGUAAGCUGAUAAAGAAUCUUCAUAUGGCCUGGUUGGUGAUUGCCUAGUUUAAAUCUUUCAUGAGUUUCCCAGUGAUAAUUCACUUUUAUAUUUAAUUCUGGGGACAACUCAAUGCUUUAUUAGAGAGUGUAUUCUAGUAAAAUUUUAAGAAUAAUCACUUUUAAUGGCAAUUAUAGUUUGGUUGAGGUCUUAGGCCAGUUACCUUACAAAGAAGCUAAGGAGUUUGUGCUUAGGUUGAAGAGAAAUAUUUAUAAGAAAUUAUUAUAUCGAUGCAAUUGAUUUUCCAUCUGAUAAAAUAAGUAAAUAAAUUACAUUCAGAGCAUUAUAAUAUAACUUUGACUUUGGUCAAUUAUCCUAUUGGAGACUCUUCUAUUUUCAUUGUAACCAUUGCAAUUAGAAAAGAAUUGUGUAUGUGUUUUUAUUUUUAUUUUUUCUGUUUUUUUUUUUUCUCAUAAGACAACCCUUGAAUUUCAUUUUAUAGACGAAGUCCUGAGGCAAAUAUCACAUGCUGUGAUUGUUAGUUUCAAGAAUUAUAAAUAAAGUAAUUCUAGGGAAUUUAUGCUUCCAGUGAGUCAUGGCCAUUGAAGUCCUGCUCCCUUAGAUGCUUUUGAAACAUACCCCAAGCUACAACCAAUAUUAGAAUGUUCACCAAAAGCUUUAAGACAAAGGCUGAAAGAGGGGACACUCCCAUAUGACCUCUCUCUUCAUUUGAUACAUCUAUAUAGCUAUUUUAUCAAGCUAAGCAUCUACCGAAUCUAUAACACAAUUUAUCUCCAAAUUUAAUGUAAUUUCGGGCUGUGUCCUGGUCAAAGUUCAACCCCUCUAACAAAUAAUAUUGGCUGCAUAUGGAGGCCACAUUUGGGGCCUCACAAAUAUGUCAGGCAUGUUUUGAUUAGCAAAGUGUAGAUGUAUGUAGAAUAUGUCAGGUUCAUGGUUUGCAAACAAUAGUGGCCUCUUAAUAGCCUUGCUCUAACCUAUGGCCUUAGAGGAGAUUUAUAAACAAUUGUUUGAUAUGUUACUUUUCCUAGUUUCAGGAUCUUAGUUGGGGACCUUCUAUUUGGGGUUCUACUUCCACUCUGGAGCCUUAUUCCAUCCUUUCUGUACUGUUUAUUGACUGAGGAAAACUUAUAUAUAAGAGAGACAAGUGCUAAUUUCUAGGACAAUCUGGUUAAUAAAUUAUGAAAGGAAACUAUACAAAAUCGGGAAAGGUAAAAUACCAAGUAGGAAAAAAAACUAAAACAUAAUCAAAGUCAAAAUAUGCUCCCUUAAUUAGGCAUGCAAUCUGGUAGAAUCAGACUCUAAAUCAGGCAGUUUACAUCAACUUCUUCAGACUGAUCAUGCUUUUUUACCAUGGUGUGUUAAAUUCAGGAGCAGUUCCAUGAUUUCAUCACUCUACUAAUGGAAAUUCCAUUGCAUUUCAGUAGUUAAUCCUAGAAUUUGGCUUUGCCUCUUAAAGAGGAGAAAGUAUUCAUUUACCUUCUUUGUACUACAUCAACAUGCUGAUAUGGUACAACAAAGGUAUAGCAUGCUUUCUCCUUAAAGAGUAAGUCUUAAGUACAAUGUUGUAAGGAUUGUUUCAUGCUUUUUUACAUGGUUUAUUAGAAGGCAAUUUUUCUUGUGCAUAUUGUAAACAAAUAAAAUAUCGAUUAAAAUAAGAAAAUAUCUUAUAUAAUUCUAAAGGCACAUCUUAACCUAUAGAAUUCCUUUCAAUGAUGGAGCUGGAGCCAUUUCUUCAAUCAAAUGGUAGGCCAUUAUGUUGUUUCUUACUGACUCAACUGAUGAACUUUUUACUAUCCCCUGAUCUUUCUUUUGUCAUGUAGUUCCUUCAACUUAAUCAAAUAACUCCUUUUAGUUGUGCAAUGACUGGUGUAGUUAUAUUUGACCUGACCACCUUAGCUACCCGUAUGUAGAAACAUGUAUGCACUUCAAACCUGAUAUUUUUUUUUAGAUUUGCUACUCCAGAACUCACUCCAUGCUUACCACUGCUAUCAGCAUCGUAGCAUUAUUUUACUCAGGAAAUUUUUUGGUCUUGAGUAUUUAUUUAACUGUGGAGAAUGCCAAUUCGACCAUCCUGUUUUAGUAGCAUGAAUUUUCAAAAAAACCAUGAUUACUUCAAUUUGUUGUUAUCACAUAUUCCUUUUUGCAUAAUACAUUCUAUUUGCCUCACUUCUAAUUUUAUUAUUUAACUGUCAUAUAGGGAUUGAGAGUGAGAAGUCAACUAUGUUGUCUGAGACGAAAUUGGAGAAGAAGUUUGGGCAGUCUCCUGUGUUUGUUGCAUCAACUCUUCUUGAGGAUGGUGGAACACUGAAAAUUGCGAGUCCUGCAUCUCUAUUAAAGGAAGCUAUCCAUGUGAUUAGCUGUGGUUAUGAAGAUAAAACGGACUGGGGAAAAGAGGUAACUAUGGAUAUGGCUUGUUUUGCCCCCAAGACAUUUCAUUUUGGGGAUUCUAUUUGGUUAUUAUUUAGUACUGGUAAAUUUUAUUAAGAAAGAAAGAGUCAGAAAGGGGGCUUAGGAUCUAAUAAACCCUCAAAUUGCUAUGAGAAAGUAAUGAUAGACAGAAAUAAAAGGAACAAACAUAGACAUUGGAACGAAUGUGCCCAAUCACUAUGCAGUGUUCUAUGAAUUGCUCAAAAUAAUAAAGCAGCAAGAUCCACCAAACCAAGGUUCUUGGCUUUAUUCAUGGUCAUGAAAGCAUACUAUGUUUCUCCCCCUUAAAAAUCUGGUAUUUCUCUUUUUAAAUUUCCCAUCAAUGGGAAAAGGACUGAGUUUCCAAAUCAUGGUGCCUUUAAGACCAAAAGCCUUGAUGUGUUUACUCAAAUGAUUAAUCAACAAAGCUGAAAACACCCAUGAAAGGUAUAUAGAGGCAGGGCCCUCUGUAUUUUUUGUUUUUUUGGGUCUUUUUUUUCUCUAAAGCACAUAGUGCAAUAAAUAAGGAAAAGACAAACCCCCAUCACUAAGCUGCAGAAUCAUAUUAGUCUCCUUUAAUGGGGUUUGCCCUAGCAAGGGAGGGAGGGAACUUUUGUGCUUAGCCUCCUGCAAUUAGAUUCUUGCCAUUUUUUCUAGGUUUUGCAUUGCUCCCUGUAAGGUUACUGGCUAUCUAUUUGAUCCUGUUUUUCUAGAAAUUUCAAAACUAACUUCAUUGCCUUUUAUUCAGGUGGGUUGGAUCUAUGGAUCUGUUACAGAAGAUAUCUUGACAGGUUUUAAAAUGCAUUGCCAUGGAUGGCGAUCCAUAUACUGCAUCCCUGACAGGCCAGCUUUUAAAGGGUCCGCACCCAUCAAUCUUUCUGAUCGUCUGCACCAGGUGCUUCGAUGGGCCCUUGGUUCCGUUGAAAUUUUCUUGAGCAGGCACUGUCCCCUCUGGUAUGGGUAUGGUGGUGGUCUGAAAUGGUUAGAACGUCUUUCUUACAUCAACGCAACUGUA